CCGGUCCCCUUCCACAGUGUGGAAGGUUUGUUCUUUCGCUCUUUGCAAUAAAUCUUGCUGCUGCUCACUCCUUGGGUCCACACUGCUUUUAUGAGCUGUAACACUCACUGGGAAAGUCUGCAGCUUCACUCCUGAAGCCAGCGAGACCACGAGCCCACCGGGAGAAACGAACAACUCCAGACGCGCCGCCUUAAGAGCUGUAACACUCACCGCGAAGGUCUGCAGCUUCACUCCUGAGCCAGCGAGACCACGAACCCACCACAAGGAAGAAACUCUGAACACAUCCGAACAUCAGGAGGAACAAACUCCAGACGCGCCACCUUAAGAGCUGUGACACUCACCUUGAGGGCCCACGGCUUCAUUCUUGACAUCAGUGAGACCAAGAACCCACCAAUUCCAGACACAAUGGGGCUUCCUCUCCACUGACUUCUGCAACAUGGCCCAUGUCACUGAGCUGGCAACCAAGAGGGAGGAGAAAAGAGAAAGGAACCCUCCCAUUCAUCCUUCCGUAUCACUACUCAGAACCAAGUACCUCUGCUUCUAAACUACAUCAGGGAGUGCAACUCCCAUGGAAUCACAGGACAAGAAGAAAUGGGAACAGAUAUUUAAGAAUUUGAAUUCUGUGAUGAACUCAGGAAUGUUGCAUCUUGAAUCAGAAACACCUUUGUUAUUGCAUUGUUUAUGAGCUAGAUAAAAAAG
rnacentral:lncRNA from 1 species